UUUUUUUUUUUUUUUUUUUUCUGACCUCCCUAAGUGUUCAUCUCAUACCUCCUGUCACUCUGUCCUCUUCUCUUCUCUUUCCCCCCACUUCUCUCCUCCAGUGCUUCUCUCCCCAUUUCCUUACCUCACAUACCCCUGUCUGGUCUAGUACUCAGCAAAGACUCCAGGCAAGCCCUAUGCAGGUUUCCCCUUUUUGGUCUACUAUUUGAUGCCUUAGGUCAGCAAAUCUUUGGACUCUGAGACUUUUUGCUGACUGUGACCAUGAUGUAGCAAUCACCUUCAGGUAGAUAUCCCACCUUGUUUGUUUUCUUCCUUUGGAGUUCACAGUUGUCUGCUGCCUGCUGCUCGAUGGCUGAAGACAGUUGUCUAGGUAUUAGACAGAACCUACUUGGUUAUAAAGUGUUGCAUCAUGUCUGUUCCUUGUUAAGCUUUCAUGGCUGGAGGCCUUCUUGAGCUGUAAAUAUUGUUUAUACUAUUGACUUUUGUGUUUUCUAACAUAUCUUUGUUAAUAAUGCUCUUCUAUUACGAAAGGAACUGCGAUUUUUCUGCCAUGAAAGCUUAUAUUUCAUAUUUUAUUGUUAUAAAUGAGAGGAAAAUAUUUAUAGGUAACUCUGAUUCACUUUUAGGGACCUCUUAGUAGAAUUAAAAAAACAUCAUCUUGAAAGAGUUCUUCUUAUCACAAUAGCAUUCAACUAUUUUAUUAGAAACUCUUCUAAAGCAGCUGUUCUUGAGCUGUGAGUUGCGACCCUUUUGGGGUCAAACAACCCUUGCACAAAGGUCACCUAAGACCAUUGGAAAACAGAUAUUUACAGUGUGAUUCAUAACACUAGUAAAAUUACACUUAAGAAGUAGCAGUGAAAAUAAUUUAUGGUUGGGGGUGGCAGCACUAGGAAGGCUGAGAACCACUUCUAAGAGGGAAAGAGGAGAGUGAGCACCAUGCGGAUGGAGUGGAGGAACUGCUCUUCAGGGGGAUUUCUUUUUAAAGACAAGGUUUUUGCUCUGCAGCUUUGGCUAGGCUCACUCUGUGAUCCUACUACCUUUGUCACCUGAUUAAAGGUAUGUGUUACCACCACACUUGACCUCAUUAGUUAAUUUAUUUUUACAUUUUGUAAGAUUUAAUUUUUUUAAGUUUUUGAUUUUGUGUAUAUGUGUGUAUGAGUUGUGUAUAUGUGCAUUAAUGCAUUGGGGUAUAGGUACCCCCAGAGUUUAGAAGAGGGUGUCAGAUCCCCUGGAACUGGAGUCCUGUAUGGUUGUGAGCUGCCAGAUAUAGGUGCUGGGAUCAAAGUACUCUUUAUUUGUUUGUUUGUGGGAUCAAAGUGCUCUUUGUUUGUUUAUUUGUUUGUUUGAGACAGGGUUUCUCUGUGUAGCCCUGGUUGUCUUGGAAUUUAUCCUGUAGACCAGGCUGGCCUCAAAUUCAGAGAUCUGCCUGCCUCUGCCUGAGUGCUGGGAUUAAAGGUGUGUGCCACCACUGCCUGACUCCAAAAAACUCUAACAAUGAGUCAUCUCCAGUCCCCAAUUGUUUUAAAUGACUGUUUCAUUUGUAUAUAUUACCAUAUGUGGUAUAUAUGCUUGUCAGUGUGGGUGCAUAUUACAUGUAGGCAGGUAUAUGUAUAUGUGUAUGUGUAUAUGUAUAUGAUCUAUCUAUCUACACACACACACACACACACACACACACACACACACACACACACACGUUUGUGGUGGCCAGAAGUUGAUUUUUUAAAAAAAAAUCACAUCAUUCUCUACCUUUAUUUUUUGAGAUAAGAUCUGCCAGUGAACUUCAGGGAUCCACCUGCCUGCACCUCACAGAACUGGGGUUAUAGGAAUAUCCACCACACUGGGCUUUUUAUGUGGGAUGAGGAUCCAAACUCAGAUCCUUAUGCCUAUGCAGCAUUAUUUACUGACUGAGCCAUCUCUACAUCCUUCUUUCAGUUUUAAAAAACUUUAUUUAAUUUUAUGUGUGUGUGUCUAAGUGCAUAUACAUGUACCUUUAAAGUGGAGUUGCAGAUAGUUGUGAACUACAUGGGUGCUGGGAACAGAACCUGGGUCCUCUGCAAGAAGAGUAAGCAUUCCUAAAUGCUGAGCCACCUCUCUAGCCCUUUGCAUUCAGUUUUAAUAAAGUAUAGGUUGAUGAAAGUAAUGCCAACAUCUUGUAUGAGAUUUUCAAGGACUCUAUAAGUGGGGUUGUAUGUGUGUUAAAUAUUUAAUUGGCUGCCAUUGGUUAGUUGUUUAUCUGUUAUAUAAAACACUUUAGAAAUUUGAAUAAUCUUACUGAUCUAUUAUGUUUGGAACAUAAGCUUGCUAGGAGAAAAGAGACAGUGGGAAAUAAGGUGCUGUUAUUUGUUUCUAGGAAUAAUUGGGUUUUGAAAAAUGUGGUGGUUCUAUUUGACAGAGCAGAUGUUUUCAUCAUGGGCUGCAUGUCUGCAUGCAGCAUGGCUGAAUUCUUCUCAUUCUGUAAACAGAGUUCUUAGAUAGAACUAAACCCCAGAAUGUAUUUAUCUUGGUGGUUCAAUUUCUAUUACAUGCAGUUCUUCAUACCUAGUUGAGUCAUUGCUAUUCUGCAUUUGCUAAAUCAUGUAAAAUUGUAAUGUUUUAGAGUCUAAAAUUUUAAUGGAAACAACUAUUUCAGAUUUAUAUUUGUACUUUUAUUUCUAAGUUUAAGAUGAACAAACCUCUCUUUUCUCCAUCUGCUUGGACUAAGAGUUUAAUUCUUAGAACCUAUGAAAAAAGCC
rnacentral:lncRNA from 1 species